rnacentral:rRNA from 1 species
ACGGGUGAGUAAUGUCUGGGGAUCUGCCCGAUAGAGGGGGAUAACCACUGGAAACGGUGGCUAAUACCGCAUAACGUCGCAAGACCAAAGAGGGGGACCUUAGGGCCUCUCACUAUCGGAUGAACCCAGAUGGGAUUAGCUAGUAGGCGGGGUAAUGGCCCACCUAGGCGACGAUCCCUAGCUGGUCUGAGAGGAUGACCAGCCACACUGGAACUGAGACACGGUCCAGACUCCUACGGGAGGCAGCAGUGGGGAAUAUUGCACAAUGGGCGCAAGCCUGAUGCAGCCAUGCCGCGUGUAUGAAGAAGGCCUUCGGGUUGUAAAGUACUUUCAGCGGGGAGGAAGGCGGUGAGGCUAAUAACCUUGCCGAUUGACGUUACCCGCAGAAGAAGCACCGGCUAACUCCGUGCCAGCAGCCGCGGUAAUACGGAGGGUGCAAGCGUUAAUCGGAAUUACUGGGCGUAAAGCGCACGCAGGCGGUCUGUUAAGUCAGAUGUGAAAUCCCCGGGCUUAACCUGGGAACUGCAUUUGAAACUGGCAGGCUUGAGUCUCGUAGAGGGGGGUAGAAUUCCAGGUGUA